CGAAACACUUUACCUUUGUCUUUUUCGUAGGGUUUCUUCACCAAAGGCGACAAAACGCACUCUUCAUCGUCUCCGCACAUCCAGCUCCGACUGUUCCUUCUCCGUCACCUCUACCGUAAACGGCUUCGUCUCCGCCAUCCUCCAAGCUAACUCAUGUUGCAAAGCUAGGCGGUGAAAAGUGGAAGUCUUUGACAGAAGAAGAUAAGAAAGUUUAUUUGGAUAAGGAGACAGAGUAUAGCAAGUCACUGGAGAACAACAAUGCUGAUGAAGAACUAUGUGAAGAAGAUGAGGAGAAGCAAUUUGAUGAGUUUAAUGAGGCUGAGGAGAAUGAAGAUGUGAAAGAAAAACCUGAUGAGGCUACUUUCUUUUGGUCUGAUCUCAUUCAAAUGGAUUUAACUGUAUAUUGUGAUGGUGCAUUGUAAAUUUUAAGCCUUUAUUUUGGUGAAAUCAGUUAUUGUAUUCUGCUUGUUGAAUUAAAUUGAUGAUAUUUUAUUUACAUCGA